CGGUGAAUACGUUCCCGGGCCUUGUACACACCGCCCGUCAAGCCAUGGAAGCUGGGGGUGCCUGAAGUUCGUUACCGAGAGGAGCGACCUAGGGUAAAACUGGUAACUAGGGCUAAGUCGUAACAAGGUAGCCGUACCGGAAGGUGCGGCUGGAACACCUCCUUUCUAGAG
rnacentral:rRNA from 1 species